UUGCAUCAUCCAGGAAAAAAAAAAUCCUCAUUUUAAUGAGAAUUAGUCAACAGUGAGGAUCAUUACCAGAAAGGGUUUUGCUGUUUUUGACUACACUUGGCGUUAGUGGAUUACCGAGGCAGAAGGCCAGUCAUUUGGAAGAUUCGGCAACGUUAUCCUCGCCGUUAAACUUCUUCAUCAAGGAACUGUUCAUGCUCCUAGCUGGUCUGUCUGAGUGAGGAGAGCAGCCCCUUCAUGAAGAAAAAAGCCUGGUUUGCCACUGAAUCUACGAGUAAGAAGCAUGUCUGAUGACAUUUUAUUCCUGAUGCAAUGUAGGCUAGCUGCCAGAAUACUGGUGAAGAUAUUUGCAGGAAAAAUGGGGACCUCUGCCAUCACAACACUGGAGGAUGUAAAAAGGCGAGAGGAGAAGGAGGAAAAAGAAGAAUCUAUUCUAGCACUGCUUGGAAUUAUUGGAACUGUGCUCAAUUUAUUUGUUAUUGUUUUUGUGUACAUCUACACUACGCUUUGAUGGCAUUUUUGAACAUUAACUGCAUAGCACACAGUGCAAAGACCAGCGACAGUAAGGAUGAUUUCUAAAUUUAAAGCAAAAAAAAAACAAACCAAAACAGUCUGACAAUAAUAUCAAUAACAUUCCAGAGCAAAGUGCCUGGCUAAGGGCACUGCAACAAUGACUGCUAAACGUAUCUGUGAGCCCAGCUAGGGUGCUAAAUUAUGUAAAUGAAGACAGACAAUAUUCAAUUUCUCACUGAUAACAGAUGAAAGCCUAAUAGUGGAAACUGAGAUGGCACUAUUUUAUUGCCAGCAAACACGCAAGGCACAAGAAAUAUAAGCAGAAAAGCAGUGAGAACAAUCAGAACAUAGAAAGAGAUUAAUUAAAUCUAUGAAUACAUACAAGCAAGCCCCAUGAUGCUUUCUGUAGUUUUGUGCAAUAUGUCUCUUCAUAGCUGAGACCAGAAAACAGACAAAAGGGUUUUAUUUUUAAAUCACCAUAAUUUAGGCUUAAAAUCUACACUGAUGUGUAAUAAGUGUGGAAACAGGAACACUGUUAUACCAAAAAAUUGUAAUACUAUAAGCAAAAUUUUAACUACUAGCUAUAUUCUGCAGCAUUUUUGUUAGUCUUGUGGAAAGCUGGAAAAGGUUAGAUUUUUCUUGCCUUUAUUGAAUCUGUAUUUGAAAUCAUGCUAUAUUGAUGAUGUGCUUUUCUAAUUAAAAAUCCUUUAAAGUGGUGUAAAAAAGUAAAGAAGAGUUUUAGUACUUCUUUUAAGAAAUAUUAUAAAUUACAAUGAUACUCUAAUACAUAUUCUCCAAAGGAAAAAAAAAAAAGUAAAUGACAUUUUCCAUAUCGCCGAUUUUAGAAUGUGUUUAAUGUAAGUCAAAUACAACUUCCAUGUUUUUAUCCUGUUGCUUAUUUUCAAGUAAAAUAAAACGUAUCACAAAGGA